GUGUGCUUAACUUGUAAAAUGUUAAACAAGUUUUGAUAUUUACCUGUUUAUGAUUAAAUUGCAAAAUGAUCUGCUUAGUUCUGUUCUAAAUUAAGGCCUGCAUUAAAUGUCAUAGCAUUUAUCUUUCAUAAAAUGAGACAGCAAGGACACUAAUUUCCUAGGUAUUCAAUCACUGCCCUGUGCCACUUGAGAGACAGCCCAGAAGCGAGCCUGCCCACAGUUCACAGCUCACUGACAGCCCUGAGAUGGAAUCAUAAAAGUCAAUUAAUCAUUAAAAGCUGUUACAAGCACAUAUCGAACCAGUCUGGCACAAAAUGUUAAUCAGUCCAAUAUCAAUAUAAUAAAUUCCUGCAAAUUGGAGCGAUCGAUACGUUUAGGGCCUAAUGAAUCAAUUUGAGGGCACUGGGCCGCUCCUUGGGGUCCCCAUGACAUGGCAGCCAGGCGAGUGCUACAUCUCUAGGCGCACUGCCAACAGAGGUCACCUAUCCUAACAGACUGUUCACUUCAGCCGCAGUUACCACGGUGACAGCAUGUCACCGUUGCCCUAGUGUCCUUCUAGGUAAGGUGGAAACCGAUGCAUCACUGCCCUUGAUGGAUUUGUCAAUAAUACUUAGCAGGGGAGGGGGCUGCUCACAUAACCCUCGCAGCUUUCCAGUCCCUGAGCAGUUUGGUGUGAUUUAAUUGUCUGAAGAGGUGUGUGCUUCUGCAUAUAUGCAGGAACUAAGCAGUUGGUCACAGGAAGAGGGAGUUGGCAGUCCGGCCGACUGCGUUCGGAAGCCUUGGGAAAACAGCGCAGAAAAUAGCAGGCAGCCGGAACGAUGGCCAGGAGUUGGCUCAUGCAAUUGCGAAGGCCAAGAAGUCCCACCAUCUGCCAUCUGCAAGCUAGAUCCACGGGAGAGCCAGUGGUGAAGUUCCACUCCACGUCUGAAGGCCUGAGAAUCAAGGAAGCCAGUGGUGUAAGUCCCAGGCCUAGGGCAGGAGGAGACUGAUGCCCCAGUUCAAGCUGUCAGGCAGAGAGAGAACUGAGUUCUCCGUUCCCCCACCUUUUUCUUCUAUUCCUGCCCUCCAUGGAUUGGAUGACGGCCACCACGUUGGGGAGGGCCAUCUACUUUCUUCAGUCUACUGAUUCAAAUGCUGAUCUCAUCCAGAAACAGCCUCACAGACACACCCCAAAAUAACUCUUUACCAGCUAUCUGGUCAUCACUUAGCCCCGUCAAACUGACACGAAAAAUUAUCCUUCACAAAUGACUUUAGUUUUCUGGGAAGGGGAAGAUUCCAGAGGGCCUGGUGUGUGAAAUAGGAUGUGAUGGGCUCUGUGGCAAUAAGGCAUUUACAAAGCUUUACAAAAUGGAUGUUUCUGUCAGAAGACUGAGUUGUCAGCACUGAGAAUUCCUAAUGUUGUAGGCUCAUUGAAGGAACACCCUUUAUUCUGCUGCUUUUGAGGGGCCCUUGGAGGGCCCGUUGUGCAGGGCUCGUUAUCACAGGCUGAACAAUGGUCUGAACCUCCUGGAGCCGAGUCUGUCAGAUGCCGCUGACGGGCCCAACGAAAGGUGCAAAUAAAGAAGAAUUGAAAUAGAUAAAGCUCAAGAUUGUGGAACAUGGAUCUGUAUUUAUACACAAAAUUGACCAAAAGAUGGAAUGGUAAAGGAUUAAUGAGCAGAUAGGGCAAAUGGCAAUACAGUGGAAGUAAUCCAUUUAAUAACCAACAACAGUAAAAAGUGAGUCUGAAACAAGAAUGCUGAAAUAUUAGGAUAGUGGACUUAGGCUUAGAAUCAUGUGGGGUAUAAUCAUUUAUUAUUCUUUUAUGUUAUUACUUAUCCAAGUCAUGAUACAGUAUAUAACACAGCACCCAUGGCCCCCUUAGUACACCCUGUGGAAAUAUGAACUCAGACGUGCACUGAGAUUGGCUGUGGGCUCCUGACUUUAAUACAUUCCAAGUUCCCAAGGCGGGUGGGCUAGAGCUUUCAAGGCGGCAGCACCGUAGCGUGAGAGGGGCAUGGAGGCAUUGGGGAGCCAAGCAGAUGGGCAACAGCAAGCAAGGCAGUUUGGGAAGGAGAGAGAAGAAGGCUAGGUCUCUGCGUCCGCUGAAUUCCUCGGGCCCAGUGUCCCCAGCUGGACCUGCAAAGCAAGCGCCAACCGACUAGGAGAUUCCAGGAAUGGAGCCAUUAUCCCAGGAAUCCUGGCCAGCCCCAAGACCUUAGAAUCAACCCCGUGGAUAUUUAACCUGCACAGACAAUCACCAUCACAGCAACAGGACCCAGCUGGGACCAAGAUGGGCUUGGCAAUGAGCAGCUGGACACCUGGAACUCUUAUCCGGCUAGCUGCUCAUACUCAUCCUGGUCUAUUAAUCUCCCAGGAACAUGACCUUUCAUUUCACACAAUCAAAAUUUUGGAUUCCACUCAUGGCAUUAUGGCAGGCUUACACUGUACAUUUUCUGCCUUUGAAAAUUUCAUCGUAUUAUAGAAGCAGUACAUGCAGCCUAUAAAAUAGACCAUACAAAUAUGUCUAAAGUGAAAGGC
rnacentral:lncRNA from 1 species